rnacentral:rRNA from 1 species
GUGAGUAACACGUGGGCAAUCUGCCCUUCACUCUGGGACAAGCCCUGGAAACGGGGUCUAAUACCGGAUAACACCUUCGGCCUCCUGGCCGAAGGUUAAAAGCUCCGGCGGUGAAGGAUGAGCCCGCGGCCUAUCAGCUAGUUGGUGGGGUAAUGGCCUACCAAGGCGACGACGGGUAGCCGGCCUGAGAGGGCGACCGGCCACACUGGGACUGAGACACGGCCCAGACUCCUACGGGAGGCAGCAGUGGGGAAUAUUGCACAAUGGGCGAAAGCCUGAUGCAGCGACGCCGCGUGAGGGAUGACGGCCUUCGGGUUGUAAACCUCUUUCAGCAGGGAAGAAGCGAAAGUGACGGUACCUGCAGAAGAAGCGCCGGCUAACUACGUGCCAGCAGCCGCGGUAAUACGUAGGGCGCAAGCGUUGUCCGGAAUUAUUGGGCGUAAAGAGCUCGUAGGCGGCCAGUCGCGUCGGGUGUGAAAGACCGGGGCUUAACCCCGGUUCUGCAUUCGAUACGGGCUGGCUAGAGUGUGGUAGGGGAGAUCGGAAUUCCUGGUGUAGCGGUGAAAUGCGCAGAUAUCAGGAGGAACACCGGUGGCGAAGGCGGAUCUCUGGGCCAUUACUGACGCUGAGGAGCGAAAGCGUGGGGAGCGAACAGGAUUAGAUACCCUGGUAGUCCACGCCGUAAACGGUGGGAACUAGGUGUUG